AUCUUUAUCAUGUAUACAUAUGAGGUAAAAGCAAAGGUCAAAAUCUAGAACGUAAAUUUUGCCAAUGACCUUGAGCUCAAUUUCAAGGUCAUCAACCAAGGACCUCAAAUCAAAAGACUUUAGUCCUCUACUUUAUAUUGUUUAUGAGUUAUAUUACCAUACAUAUGAUAUUAGAUAUAAAAAGGGGGAAAACUCACGUCAAAUGUCUACGUACCCUUUCGACUAAAAUUUAUGUGUUACUACAUGUCGUAACUAACAAUUUUAUGAAAAUAUUUUGUCAAUAUCUUAUAUGAUUUCUGAAAAUAAGAGAUAACAAGCCAAAAUCAAAAUUUUGAUCAUGACCUUGACCUUUGACCUUGACCUCAUUUUCAAUUUUUUGGACCAAGGACCUCAAAACAAAAGACCCUAGGCCUCUAACACUUAUGGUUUUCCAGUUAAAAAUGCAUAUCACUUAUAUCAAAUAUAAAAGGGGAAAUAACUCUCAUAUGGAGUCUUCGGAAAGCUUCGGUCAAAAUAAAUCAAAUCAUCCUGAGGAUAUAACGAGCAAUUUGGUAAAAUAAAUUUGUCGGUUUCUUAUACGGUUGCGAAUAUUAAGCGAUCACAAGAAAAACAGUGUUCGGGGAGAUAACUCUUACAUUGAAAAGAUUUUGGUUACGCGGUGUCAGUUUCAAAAGCGUAUUAAUUGCUCGAUAUCAUAUACCAUAUAUCUAAGCGACAUCUUGCGAAACAAAAAAAUUGCGAAGGAACAAAAAGUUGGCGGAAGAAAAAAAAUAAUAAAUAUAAAUCAAUUGCUUUUAAAAAGCAAUUGUAAACGGUCUUUCCCCCUUUGAAACAUAGAUUGAUUGGGAGGGGUGUUUUGUUUGUUUGUUUGUUUGUUUGUUUGUUUGUUUCUGUAAGGGGUCUAUAGUAUUGUGUUACCGGAGAAGUUUCAUGUUUAGUUUGGAAAGUUUUUCUUUUAUUUUAGGUCCAGCGCGCGCGCCAGAUUGAGGAGACAUCACGUGACGCGGGUAUAUAAUAACGAAAACUUAGUCUUUUUUAUUCUUUUUAGGUGGGGACGUUAAACAGACAACAUCUAUAGAGAUGGAAUGUACACAAUGUAAUUUCUUUUGUCAUUGUAGGAAAUUGACAUUUUGAUCACAGUUCACCAGCAGUGCAUGUUUUGGAUUUAAUUGAUUCGCUGUAACUUUAAAACACAUUUAAGGAUUAUUUUCUGAUAAUGUACAUUUUUCAGCACCAGUUUGUAACACAGAUAAGUAUUUCAAUCUAGGAGCGGACAUUUUAUUGUAGCAUUUCACUGAGAUUUACGGACCUAGCAAGCAAUUUUUACGGCAUUGCAAUUUUUUUUCUCUAGGAAAAGUCUUGAGAGAUAUCGGCACCACGUUGUUUUAUGAACCUUUAGUACAUGUAUGCCCUGCUGACUGCAAAGUUUGGGGUCGAUUGGACUUGUAGUUUCAGAGUUUAACUGAUAACAAACAUGUGGAUUUUUUUUUCAGAAGAGAUGUAAGAUCAAUAUUAAAAACCAAUUGUUCAGAGAACCAUUGAUGGUCUUUCCACCAGUUAAGACCUUUUUUUAUAUGAAAAUAUUAAAAUUUGAUUUUAAAUGUCAAUUGUACCGUCAAAUGACAACUUAUUGAACGUUUAUUCCAAAAAUGUAUGGUUUCUAUGGAAAAAGAUAUAGAUAUGGGAGAUAAUUGUUUACUUCCGGUUCAAAC
rnacentral:lncRNA from 1 species